GCUAAACCUGUGCUUUCUGUCACCAAGGGCCUAAUCUUACUUUCAAAUGGUCAAGUCAUUAGAGACAACAUUACAGUGCACGAGGAAUCUUGAAUGAGAACAUGGGCAUAUCAAUAUUGAAAAGCUUUUUUUAAUGUCCCGAUAUCAAUAAUGAGAACGAUGAGAUGGUCACAUGUCUUGAGAUAUAAAAAUUGGGGCUAAAUAGGCUUUCUUUAAGGUAGUAUAGCCGCAAAAGAAUACUACUCCAGUUGAAAAGCUCUAUGCGGCCUUUUUAGGCUUACAUCAUCAUGUAUUUUGAAUGGCUUCCAAAUUUGCAGAAGGAUAUGGUAGGCAUAUAUUUGCUCCUAAGUAACAUCUUUAGAAAAUCCUUACGGGACUUACAUACAGCUGCUGAGCUGCCUGUAUCAUUUAUUGGCUACCAUAUUGGCAUUACAGUCUCUUAGUUGUAGCAAGAUUUAUAGCUGCUGGUGCAAAGUCUAUUUUGUUUGAGAUCGUAACCUGACAAAUUUCAGCAUGUGUUCAAUUA
rnacentral:lncRNA from 1 species